GUUCAAAUGUGUGUUGGUCAGUGCGGACAUCGCUGCGGCAGAGGGAGGUGGAUUGCGCAAGUGCUCUUGAAUUUAUGAGAAAUUUACUGAUUUCGGCCUUGAAAUGGUUCGGAACUACAAAAGAAAGACUGAACGUGGGUCAGCAACACCCCAACUAAUGCAGGAGGCUGCUGAUUUUGUUCGAAAUAAGAAUAAAUCAGUGAGAGAGUCCGCACAACUGUUUGGUGUCCACUACUCAACCUUACAACGAUUUAUUCACAAAACCUCUGGCAACACUGCUAAAAACAAUACACAUGUAGGAUAUGCCAAACCAAGACAAGUAUUUACAUGUGAGCAGGAAGAAGAAUUAGUAUCCUAUCUGAAAACAGCAGCAGCAAUUUAUUUUGGUCUUUCUCCGAGAGAAGUCAAGGAACUGGCUUUCAAAUGCGCCAAUGAAGCAAAGAUAGAAAUGCCUGAUAAUUGGCGCAAUGAUAAAUAUGCUGGAAAAGACUGGUUUUCAGGUUUCAUGAAGCGACAUGGACAAGAACUCUCAAUUAGACAUCCUGAAGCGACAAGUUUGUCCAGAGCUACAAGUUUCAACAACCAUAAUGUAGAGUUAUUUUUCUCCAAGCUUUCUUCUCUCAUGGAUAAGUAUAAAUUUGAACCUCAAGACAUAUGGAAUGCUGAUGAAAGUGGAGUGACAACUGUUCAGAAACCUCGUGCAGUGGUAGCAGUUAAGGGCACAAAGCAAGUUGGCUCUUUUACCUCAGCUGAGAGAGGACAACUUGUUACAUUUUGUGUUGCUGUCAGUGCCAUUGGAGGGUCUGUUCCUCCCAUGUUGAUAUUUCCACGGAAAAACUACCAUGAUCAUUUCAUAAGGGAUGGCCCAGAAGGAUCAAUUGGAGCCUGUCACCCUUCUGGAUGGAUGACACAGGAUAACUUCUUAUUGUUUAUGAAGCAUUUCAUUAAGCAUACAAAAGCAACUGUCGAGAAACCUAUCUUGCUGUUGCUAGAUAAUCACCAAUCUCAUGUUAACUAUGAUGUUAUCACAUUAUGCAAGGAAAAUGGAGUGGUUUUGCUGUCAUUUCCUCCACACUGCUCCCACAAGUUGCAGCCCUUAGAUAGGUCAGUUUAUGGACCUUUCAAGCGUUACCUGAGUUCAGCUCAGAAUGACUGGUUACGGAGUAAUCCUGGAAAAAGAAUGACCAUUUACGACAUUCCUUCUCAAGUAAAAAAAGCUUUUCUGAGAGCUUCAACUCCCAUUAACAUCACGAGUGGCUUUAAAGUCAGCGGCAUCAGUCCUUUGAAUACAAAUAUCUUUGAUGACUGGGAGUUUGCUCCCUCUUCAGUAACGGAUCGCCCAGUGAGGCAGCAAUGUGAACAGGAUGCGGCCAAAGCAAUGCAAGAUGUCUCAGAGGUUUCAAAAUAGGUAGAUGAACAUUGGUUUUCUUCCACUUCUGCAUCAAUGGAACCCCAUCCUUCCUCUUCUACAGCCAGUGAACCCCUUCCUUCCACUUCAACUGCAGUAGGACCAGAACCAGCAGUAGCUUCUUUCAUUACUGAUCAAGUUGAAACUGCAAAUGUUGGUGAGUCUUCCCUUUGCCCAGAAAAAAUCAUGCCACAUCCAAAAGCAACACCUCGGAAAAAGAAAUGUAAUACAGGCAGAAAAGCACGUAAAAGUGCCAUAUUAACAGACACACCUGAAAGAAAUGCUCUGUUUGCUGAAGCCAUUAAGAAAAAAAACAAAAAGAAAUGAUGUCAAAGAAAAGAAAGCCACCAAGAAAAGGAAGCAGGAGUUUUUACACAAAGUUCGAUCCAAAAAACCUGUUGAAAAGUACGACAUAUCCAGCUCAGACGACGAAGACUGGUAUUGUCUGAUUUGUGUAGAACCAUAUUCCAAUAGCAGGCCCCGGGAGAAAUGGAUUCAAUGUAGUACAUGCAGAGGAUGGUCUCAUGAGGAAUGUUUGGGAACAGAUGGAGGUAUAAUUUUAUAUUAUAUUUGUCAUAACUGUGAAUCUGAUGAUGAAUAAAUUUAAGGUUCAUCGGUUCAGUUUA